rnacentral:rRNA from 1 species
UCGUAACAAGGUCUCCGUAGGUGAACCUGCGGAGGGAUCAUUACACAAAUAAACAUGGAAAGGCUGCCCGCGGCUGGUGUUUCCCCCCUUCUCGGGAGGCUCCAGUUGGCGGACGCUGGACUAUUUUUUAUUACCCUUGUCUUUUGCGCACUUGUUGUUUCCUGGGCGGGUUCGCCCGCCACCAGGACCACACCAUAAACCUUUUGUAUGCAGUUGCAAUCAGCGUCAGUACAACAAAUGUAAAAUCAUUUACAACUUUCAACAACGGAUCUCUUGGUUCUGGCAUCGAUGAAGAACGCAGCGAAAUGCGAUACGUAGUGUGAAUUGCAGAAUUCAGUGAAUCAUCGAAUCUUUGAACGCACAUUGCGCCCUUUGGUAUUCCAAAGGGCAUGCCUGUUCGAGCGUCAUUUGUACCCUCAAGCUCUGCUUGGUGUUGGGCGUUUUUUUGUCUUGGGGGCCUGCCCCUAAAGACUCGCCUUAAAAAGAUUGGCAGCCGGCCUACUGGUUCCGCAGCGCAGCACAUUUUUGCGCUUGCAACCAGCUCUUAAAGAGGACGGCACUCCAUCAAGUCUCUUUAUUCAC